UGCAGUCGGACGGCAGCACAGAGAAGCUUGCUUCUUGGGUGGCGAGUGGCGAACGGGUGAGUAACAUAUCGGAACGUACCGAGCAGUGGGGGAUAACUAAUCGAAAGAUUAGCUAAUACCGCAUAUAUUCUGAGGAAGAAAGCAGGGGACCAUUUGGCCUUGCGCUGUUUGAGCGGCCGAUAUCUGAUUAGCUAGUUGGKGGGGUAAAGGCCUACCAAGGCGACGAUCAGUAGCGGGUCUGAGAGGAUGAUCCGCCACACUGGGACUGAGACACGGCCCAGACUCCUACGGGAGGCAGCAGUGGGGAAUUUUGGACAAUGGGCGCAAGCCUGAUCCAGCCAUGCCGCGUGUCUGAAGAAGGCCUUCGGGUUGUAAAGGACUUUUGUCAGGGAAGAAAAGGGCGGGGUUAAUACCCCUGUCUGAUGACGGUACCUGAAGAAUAAGCACCGGCUAACUACGUGCCAGCAGCCGCGGUAAUACGUAGGGUGCGAGCGUUAAUCGGAAUUACUGGGCGUAAAGCGGGCGCAGACGGUUACUUAAGCAGGAUGUGAAAUCCCCGGGCUCAACCUGGGAACUGCGUUCUGAACUGGGUGACUAGAGUGUGUCAGAGGGAGGUAGAAUUCCACGUGUAGCAGUGAAAUGCGUAGAGAUGUGGAGGAAUACCGAUGGCGAAGGCAGCCUCCUGGGAUAAACACUGACGUUCAUGCCCGAAAGCGUGGGUAGCAAACAGGAUUAGAUACCCUGGUAGUCCACGCCCUAAACGAUGUCGAUUAGCUGUUGGGCAGCAUGACUGCUUAGUAGCGAAGCUAACGCGUGAAAUC
rnacentral:rRNA from 1 species